CUUUGUACAUGAUUCUCAAUACUUGCAAUUAUUCUAAUGAUCUCCCCAGAUGAUAUGCAGGUUGUCAUCCCUUUGAGCCAGAAGUUACUUGAGAGCCAUGCCUGGCUCAUUCCCUUAUUUCCAGCAUGUAGGGUGAUGCUGAAUACAUCCCAUCCUUGGGAAACGUGA
rnacentral:lncRNA from 1 species